CACCGCCAGCUGAUAUAUAGGUAGUUGACACCUGUUUCUAGUUUACCAUUUAUUGCAUUGGUUGAUUCGGACAGUAUGGUUGAAGUCUGCUUCGUUGAAACUAGCACAGAUGUUUGAGAAUAUUGAUGAAAGUUGGAGGGCAUCUGAGCCGAGAUGAAAAUCUUUCCCAAGCCAUCGCGACUCACUGUGUCAAAUGGUUUGGCUUGAUCGAUGAAGACGAACAAAGAUGUGGAACGGUAUGCAAGACUUUUGUCUCAAAUUGUACAUUGUAAGAAGACUUUAGAUUUAUCUACAACAGUGUUUUCCAAAGUGAGGUACGGCCACUCACCAAGGAUACGGGAAGACUUUGGAGGGGGUACGCUUUGCACUU
rnacentral:sRNA from 1 species